rnacentral:rRNA from 1 species
AACGUAGGUGGCAAGCGUUAUCCGGAAUUACUGGGCGUAAAGGGUGUGCAGGCGGGGUGGCAAGUGGUGUAUGAAAUAUCCCAGCUUAACUGGGAGGGGUUAUGCCAGACUGCUACUCUAGAGGACGAGAGAGGGGCGUGGAAUUCCGGGUGUAGUGGUGAAAUGCGUAGAGAUCCGGAGGAACCCCAGAGGCGAAGGCGACGCCCUGGCUCGUACCUGACGCUCAGCCACGAAAGCAUGGGGAGCGAACGGG